rnacentral:sRNA from 1 species
CUUGGUCAUUUAGAGGAAGUAAAAGUCGUAACAAGGUUUCCGUAGGUGAACCUGCGGAAGGAUCAUUAAGAAUUGACAAUAUUUGUGAAAUUUCAGCAAACAACAAUAAUUUUAUAGUCAAAACAAAAAAAUCAAAACUUUUAACAAUGGAUCUCUUGGUUCUCGUAUCGAUGAAGAACGCAGCGAAACGCGAUAUUUCUUGUGAAUUGCAGAAGUGAAUCAUCAGUUUUUGAACGCACAUUGCACUUUGGGGUAUCCCCCAAAGUAUACUUGUUUGAGCGUUGUUUCUCUCUUGGAAUUGCAUUGCUUUUCUAAAAUAUUGAAUCAAAUUCGUUUGAAAAACAACACUAUUCAACCUCAGAUCAAGUAGGAUUACCCGCUGAACUUAAGCAUAUCAAUAAGCGGAGGAAAAGAAACCAACAGGGAUUGCCUUAGUAACGGCGAGUGAAGCGGCAAAAGCUCAAAUUUGAAAUCGGCCUCCAGGUCGAGUUGUAAUUUGUAGAUUGUAUUUUGAGAGCGGAUUAAAGUCUGUUGGAACACAGCGCCUUAGAGGGUGACAGCCCCGUAAAAUCUAUUCUCAUUGUAAGAUACUUUCGAAGAGUCGAGUUGUUUGGGAAU